CUGGUAUGUCUCUGUUUUUUCUUCUUCCAUUUUCUGUUUCUAUGUAACCUUCUCUCUCGAAUUUCUUUUUCUUCAAAUUUUGCUUCUUUGAUCCUUUAGCUUUGACAAAACCAAAGUAACAAAAGUUAUCCUGUUUGGUCUCUGUUGUGAAUCGUGCUCUGCUUUGUUUGUGACUCCAAAAUGCGGAUUUGAAACCAGAAUAUCUGAGCUGAAUUCGGGCAUGCAUGCGCUUCUUUUAUCUGGAAUUUUUAAGACUUUGGUUCUAAAUCCCCCAACUUUGGGUUAACUGUCAAUCUACAAUUUUAUAUUAACAGAGUUAGCUUAGCAAUGGAGCCGUCAGAAGAGGGUCAACAGCAGCAGGGAAUGAUGGAUUAUGUACCUCCUCAUGCUUAUCAGAGUGGGCCAGUAAAUGCUGCGUCUCAUAUGCCAUUCCAACAAGCUCACCACUUCCACCACCACCACCAUCAGCAACAACAGCAGCAGCAGCUUCAGAUGUUCUGGGCUAACCAAAUGCAAGAGAUCGAGCAUACCACUGAUUUCAAGAACCACACCCUUCCGCUGGCCCGCAUCAAGAAGAUCAUGAAAGCUGAUGAAGAUGUGAGGAUGAUCUCUGCGGAGGCUC
rnacentral:lncRNA from 1 species